rnacentral:rRNA from 1 species
CCUACGGGUGGCAGCAGUGAGGAAUAUUGGUCAAUGGACGCAAGUCUGAACCAGCCAUGCCGCGUGCAGGAAGACGGCUCUAUGAGUUGUAAACUGCUUUUGUACGAGGGUAAACGCAGAUACGCGUAUCUGUCUGAAAGUAUCGUACGAAUAAGGAUCGGCUAACUCCGUGCCAGCAGCCGCGGUAAUACGGAGGAUUCAAGCGUUAUCCGGAUUUAUUGGGUUUAAAGGGUGCGUAGGCGGUCGGAUAAGUUAGAGGUGAAAUCCCGAGGCUCAACUUCGGAAUUGCCUCUGAUACUGUUCGGCUUGAGAGUAGUUGCGGUAGGCGGAAUGUAUGGUGUAGCGGUGAAAUGCUUAGAGAUCAUACAGAACACCGAUUGCGAAGGCAGCUUACCAAGCUACUUCUGACGUGGAGGCACGAAAGCGUGGGGAGCAAACAGGAUUAGAUACCCUAGUAGUC